rnacentral:lncRNA from 1 species
UCAGCACCACACUAUCAGUGCCCAGCCCAGGUGGGAAUGGUAGAACCCUGGCUCCUCCUCUUUCACUCCUCCAACCUUCCAGGUCUGUCUCUUCCUGUCACCUAUGCAAGGAGAGAACCUCCGCUGACCCCUAGCCUUGGACAAAGGCCAUGAAAUCUGAGAUUAGCACACCAGUCUUUAUGCAAAGUCCAGGACAGUUGUAGAGCCUGCUGAAAAUGUCUGGCAGUGCUUCCCCGUGCCCGUUGGCCUGAGCAGUAAAAGCAAAUGUCUGUGAUCAGCAAUAGGCGUAACCAUUUCCCCUCACACGUUCAGGCAGACCCUAGUGCCCCCAUGCUACAGAUGAGGAAGCAGGCACAGAGAGGAAAAAACCGACUGCCUCCAAGGUCCUAGCUCAGUGGAUGUCAACAGGAUGCAGAGGCACCUUCUCUGUUUACUGUGUUACGUGCUCUGUCAGCCUCCAGGUCCUCUCCACUUUCUAUCUUCAUUCAUAAGCAGCUUCAGACUCCUGAACACCUCCCUUCCAUAACACCUCCCUCCCAUAUACCAUGCAUGUUCCCCACCAGUUUGUUGCUUUGGCCUCUGGCAUACAUCCCUAGUCUGGCCCUGGGACUUCUGUGUACAAACCUUUCCUCAUUCUGGGAAGCUAGCUACUUUGAAAACUCCUGUCUCUGCCCAGUACGGGAGCCAUGGACAGCUCCCAAAACAUGCCUACCCAAAUAAAGACUUGUGAACUAGUGAA